rnacentral:rRNA from 1 species
UACGUAGGGGGCUAGCGUUGUCCGGAAUCAUUGGGCGUAAAGCGCGUGUAGGCGGCCCGGUAAGUCCGCUGUGAAAGUCGGGGGCUCAACCCUCGGAUGCCGGUGGAUACUGUCGGGCUCGAGUACGGAAGAGGCGAGUGGAAUUCCUGGUGUAGCGGUGAAAUGCGCAGAUAUCAGGAGGAACACCGGUGGCGAAGGCGGGAUCCUGGGCCAGUACUGACGCUGAGGAGCGAAAGCGUGGGGAGCAAACAGG